rnacentral:rRNA from 1 species
CCUCAUGAUUUAGAGGAAGGUGAAGUCGUAACAAGGUUUCCGUAGGUGAACCUGCGGAAGGAUCAUUACCGAAGAAUGGGUUA